rnacentral:rRNA from 1 species
CAGUCGCCGCGGGAAUACGUAGGUGGCAAGCGUUGUCCGGAAUUAUUGGGCAUAAAGGGCUCGCAGGCGGUUUCUUAAGUCUGAUGUGAAAGCCCCCGGCUCAACCGGGGAGGGUCAUUGGAAACUGGGAAACUUGAGUGCAGAAGAGGAGAGUGGAAUUCCACGUGUAGCGGUGAAAUGCGUAGAGAUGUGGAGGAACACCAGUGGCGAAGGCGACUCUCUGGUCUGUAACUGACGCUGAGGAGCGAAAGCGUGGGGAGCGAACAGGAUUAGAUACCCCCGUAGUCCCUGUCUCUUAUAC